UUUCCGUAGGUGAACCUGCGGAAGGAUCAUUAUUGAAAUAAACCUGAUGGGUUGCUGCUGGCUCUCUAGGGAGCAUGUGCACACCUGUCAUCUUUAUAUCUCCACCUGUGCACCUUUUGUAGAUCUGGAUAUCUUUCUGAAUGCCUGGCAUUCAGGUUUGAGGAUUGACUUGUCUUUCCUUACAUUUCCAGGCCUAUGUUUUCUUCAUAUACACCAUGUAUGUCAUAGAAUGUAAUGAAAAGGGCCUUUGUGCUACAAACCUAUACAACUUUCAGCAACGGAUCUCUUGGCUCUCGCAUCGAUGAAGAACGCAGCGAAAUGCGAUAAGUAAUGUGAAUUGCAGAAUUCAGUGAAUCAUCGAAUCUUUGAACGCACCUUGCGCUCCUUGGUAUUCCGAGGAGCAUGCCUGUUUGAGUGUCAUUAAUAUAUCAACCUCCUCAGGUUUUUUCUUGUUGAGUGUUUGGAUGUGGGGGUAUCUUUUGCUGGUCUCUUUUGAGGUCGGCUCCUCUGAAAUGCAUUAGCGGAACAAUUUGUUGACCCGUUCAUUGGUGUGAUAACUAUCUACGCUAUUGACGUGAAGCAAGGUCAGCUUCUAACAGUCCAUUGACUUGGACAAAUUUCAUUAAUGUGACCUCAAAUCAGGUAGGACUACUCUCUGAACUUAA
rnacentral:rRNA from 1 species